UUGUUGUCCAUCUGGAGAAAAUGGAGGAAUAUGCCAAAGCAUUUGCUAAACUUGCUAACUAUUUACUGCAAACAGAUUGUGUUCCAGAGAUUUCAUCCAGAUUACAUCUCUAGCUUGAAGCUAGUUUGCUCGAUCAGAUCCGAGGGUGAGUUUCUAUCCAUGCCAUGCCACCUGAAGAUCUCUCUUUCCAAAUGUUUAUUUUUAUUCCAGACAUUAUUUGUUAUUGUAGUUGAGAUAUACUUCAUUCUUUAGACAUCGUUGGUUAGAGUCCUUGUACGAUGACUUUCAGAUUUUAGGGGUGUAAUAGUUAGACUUCCACACUUAGAUUAUCCUUUAAUUAUGACUUGUUUUAUUUAUUCA